UAUACAGUAUUGACCACAUUAAACCUUAUAGAACAAGCCACCCUGUCCAAGUCUCAACUCCAACUGAACCUGUUGAGAGUAGCCCAUCUUCUGAGAUGCAGCCUUGCAGUCCUCAGCAUCAUCCUGAAGCGCUGCAAAAUAACAGACCCUCUGUCAUACAGUUUGCACCAAAAAUAGCUCAGGUAAAAUCAGUCCAAGCACCAGAAGAGCUUGUACCAGUGACCCCCAGAAACCCAGCACGCAAGAAAAAGUGAAGUGGCUUUGGGCUGCAAAAGACACCGGGCGUGUGGAGGCAGUCGUUGGGCCAUACAAAUUGUAUGACUCUUCUUUUCGCACACUGGAGGACAGUGGGUGGCUUUCUGAUGAGGUCAUUGAUGGAUACCUGCACUGCCUCAUUAGGAAACAAAAGGCA